GGGCCCGUAGCUCAGUCCGGAAGAGCACUCGCUUUGCAGGCGAGACGCCACGGGUUCAAAUCCCGUCGGGUCCA
rnacentral:tRNA from 2 species